ACAAAGCUCCGCCCCUUAAUGACAUCACCUGAGACCAACCAGGAAACAGGUUGUUCCUGUUCAGUUCUCACUGAGGACAGACACACAGACGGACAGACAGACGGUGCUCCACGGGACCCUUUACCUGAAAAGACCCCAAGUCGUCCAGGCAACCUACCACCACCAUCUUUUCCUACCACAGGCUCCCGCAAAGGCUCACUGGGUCGAUGUUUAUGAAUGAGUACAUACUCAUUAGCCAAUGCUGCAGCCUCAGCAACAGUUGUAACCUUACAUUUAGUAAUGUAUGUGGCAACCCGACUGGGCAGAGAGUUUUUAAGGACCAAGUUACACAAACUCUCAAAAUUGUCAACAUCUGAAGCCAUACACCAACGAUUGCAGUGAUUAGUCAGCUCCCUUGAAAACUCCAUAUGAGUCUGACCCUUUUUUCCCACAUCCUAAAUCGCUGACGAUAUGCUUCUGGAACUAACUCAUACGCCUUCAGUACAGCAGCCUUGACUGGUUGAUAAGUUAGAUUAUUGCAACUUAACGACGAAUCGGUCCACACACUGCAAUAACAAAACCUGCUCUGAGUCUGACCAAGUCCUUGCUUCUGCAAUCCGCUCAGAGAGAAAAACACAUCUGGAUCCCGCUCAUUAAAUUUAGGCAAGAAAUGCAAAUUACUAACAACAUCUGGAGACCCUGACCACAAAGAUGAACUUUCAUCCCGUCGCAACACAUCCCCAGAAAGCUUACCAUCUCUGACUAGUCCCAGUUUAGCAGUUUGCAAUGCUAUCUUUUCCUGCUCUCUCCUGCUGCAAAGACUCAAUCGCCACUUGCUUUUCCGCCUCCAACUUAUGCUUUUCUAUCCGAAUCCAUUGCCUUUCUUGUUCUUCUCUGUUUUCUCUUUAUCAUGAGAUAACUGCAAUAAAAGCAAUUAUUUCCUCUGCUCAAAGGUUAAGUUUCCUGAUGAGACUAAAAGUGACUGUGCAGCUAACGAUGGAACAGGCCCCUCUAGCUCAGCCACCAGCACCCCUUUCUCAACUUACUGCAGUUUUACCAAAUGCUUUACAUUCUCAGUCUAUCACCAAUCCCACUUAGAUCAAUGUCAUAUUCUUCUAAAUAUACAGGACCCCAGCAGAAGAAAACACAAGUACUAACAGAAAUCAUUGCAUAAGUCAACUAGUGCACAAACAACACUAAUGGUGUCCCCAAAACUAAUGUGGAAGUCCCACUCUACCUAAACUGUCUAUCCACAAACUAAGCUACCUCACUGAACCCUAGUCUUGAGAUUAGGCUAUAAUGGGCUAUUUAAACACUUAAACCAAUAGCCCGGUGAGGCACCCAGCAAGCUGGUUAUUCACCUGAAAGCUAUGGAUGUUUCCCUGAGACAACUGCUCUAACCACCCACCACACAGAAAAUAACAAACUUAAAAAAUAAAUCAACAAGCCCAAAUGGACCAAAACAUACCAUACUAGAGGACCAAACAAUUAGCUCCUGCCUUCCUAUUCAUGUCAACAACUCAUGGGACCAAACUUUUGUUUGAGUAUUAUAGAAUUUCACGCACUGCAGUGCUCCCUUUUGGUUACUUCAGCAGCAACAGUUGCAGAGCAGGGUAUUUCUCUUUGUGCAACUAGACAAGAUAGAGAGCACAUGGGCUUAUCUCUCCUGCCGCAGUUAUCUUUGGCAUUGUUGCCUUGGACAUUAUUUGUCCAUUAGUAUUAUUGAGUUAUAAGUUUUCAAUGUUAUUUAUAUCAUAUAUUUGCUCUGUCUACAUUUUAUUUCUAAUUCGGAUUGCUUCAUUGGUUGCUAGCAUAGCUGUAGUAGUAGUUAGUCCACUGUGAAGCAGUUUUUAUGUUAUGUACAGUGUUAUGUAAUAAUGUAAUAGUAUUGCUUAAAUAUUGAUUUAUGUUUGUAUUUUGUGAGACAAUUAAAGAUAGAACUGAAACUGA